GAUGAACGCUGGCGGCGUGCCUAAUACAUGCAAGUCGAGCGGACCAAAGAGAGCUUGCUCUCUGAGGUUAGCGGCGGACGGGUGAGUAACACGUGGGUAGCCUGCCUGUAAGACGGGGAUAACUUCGGGAAACCGAAGCUAAUACCGGAUGAUAAAGAGAAACGCCUGUUUCUUUUUUGAAAGUCGGCCUUGUGCUGACGCUUACAGAUGGGCCCGCGGCGCAUUAGCUAGUUGGUGAGGUAACGGCUCACCAAGGCGACGAUGCGUAGCCGACCUGGGAGGGUGCUCGGCCACACUGGGACUGAGACACGGCCCAGACUCCUACGGGAGGCAGCAGUAGGGAAUCUUCGGCAAUGGACGAAAGUCUGACCGAGCAACGCCGCGUGAGCGAUGAAGGCCUUCGGGUCGUAAAGCUCUGUUGUCAGAGAAGGACAAGUACCGGAGUAACUGCCGGUACCUUGACGGUACCUGACCAGAAAGCCACGGCUAACUUCGUGCCAGCAGCCGCGGUAA
rnacentral:rRNA from 1 species